rnacentral:rRNA from 1 species
UACAGAGGUCCCAAGCGUUGUUCGGAUUCACUGGGCGUAAAGGGUGCGUAGGUGGUGAUGUAAGUUCGAUGUGAAAUCUCCGGGCUUAACCCGGAAACUGCAUUGAAUACUAUAUUGCUUGAGGGUCGGAGGGGAGACUGGAAUUCUCGGUGUAGCAGUGAAAUGCGUAGAUAUCGAGAGGAACACCAGUGGCGAAAGCGAGUCUCUGGACGACACCUGACACUGAGGCACGAAAGCUAGGGGAUCAAACAGG